rnacentral:rRNA from 1 species
GACGAACGCUGGCGGCGUGCCUAAUACAUGCAAGUCGAACGCAGUGGGGACGGGUGAGUAACACGUGGGUAACCUCCCAUCAGAGGGGAUAACACUUGGAAACAGGUGCUAAACCGUUACUGAUGGAUCGACCUGCGGUGCCUUAGCUAGUUGGUGAGGUAACGGCUCACCAAGGCCACGAGGCAUAGCCGACCUGAGAGGUGGAACGGCCACACUGGAACUGGGACACGUCCCAGACGCCUACGGAAGGCAGCAAGAGGGAAUCUCCGGCAAUGGACGAAAGUCUGACCGAGCAACGCCGCGUGAGUGAAGAAGGUUUUCGGAUCGUAAAACUCUGUUGUUAGAGAAGCGGUAUCUAACCAGAAAGCCACGGCUAACUACGUGCCAGCCGCCGCGGUAAUAC